rnacentral:rRNA from 1 species
GACGAACGCUGGCGGCGUGCUUAACACAUGCAAGUCGAACGGAAAGGCCCUGCUUUUGUGGGGUGCUCGAGUGGCGAACGGGUGAGUAACACGUGAGUAACCUGCCCUGGACUUUGGGAUAACUUCAGGAAACUGGGGCUAAUACCGGAUAGGAGCUCCUGCUGCAUGGUGGGGGUUGGAAAGUUUCGGCGGUUUGGGAUGGACUCGCGGCUUAUCAGCUUGUUGGUGGGGUAGUGGCUUACCAAGGCUUUGACGGGUAGCCGGCCUGAGAGGGUGAACGGCCACAUUGGGACUGAGAUACGGCCCAGACUCCUACGGGAGGCAGCAGUGGGAAGUAUUGCACAAUGGGCGGAAGCGUGAUGAAGCAACGCCGCGUGCGGGAUGACGGCCUUCGGGUUGUAAACCGCUUUCGCCUGUGACGAAGCGUGAGUGACGGUAAUGGGUAAAGAAGCACCGGCUAACUACGUG